UUUCUACAAUACUUUAGUCAUUUGAAUCUAGGCUAUUCGCGAAAAAUGAUUUUCCUGCUUUGUAGAAACACAGACACAGACUUCAUUGACCACAAAAACAAAAAUCCAAAAUUUAGAAAACUGAAUCUAACUGCUUAAAAAAAUAACUGGGUGUCAUCAUGGCUCCAUCGAUCAACAAAUACUACAAACAAACUCAUCGUUUAAACGCAACACCGAAAUGAUUUUACACUCCACCUCGCAACAUUGUCUUAAAAUCUUGAAAGAUAAACUUUUUGCUCUUGUAUAUCUAAAUAAAUAAACACAACACCGCCUCACAAUUUACCAAUUUUUAUUUCGACGUGAUAAGGUUUAGAGUGGUGUCAGUGUUCAAACACUCGAAUCCAGCUAAAAAUCUUCCGACUGUUUUAUUAAAUAAUAAUUUAUACAAAGUGUUAUCAUUGUCGUUGAGUAAAAUAAACAAAAAAUCUUCAUAAAUUGUGCUACAAGCCCAAGUGAAUCCCCUUUUUACAGAAAGAGACUUUGGGUCGAUAUAUAAAGCACCCACCAAUAGUGAAACAGGCGCAAGAAGCUAGUACGCGAUUAGUCCGUGUUACUGUUAAUAACAAAGUGAGAUUGUCCUUCGAAUACUCAUCACGAUGGAUAAAAAUUCCAAAGAUAAUCGCUCAAAUCAGAAGAACCCCAAUAACAACGCCUAUUAUUCCAGCAGGGGAGAUUCAAAGUCAAGCUCCUCAUCGUCCAGUUAUUCAAAGCAAGAACAGGACAACCGGUCCAAACAAAUGAAUCCGAACAACGAUGCCUAUUACAAUUCAAGAGGAAAGAAGUAACCCUAGAACCAAAGCAACAAGUUACUUAAUAUUAAUAUAACUCAAAUCACUUAUUUUCAUUAGAAAUUAGAACACCAGUUCAAGUACUUAAGUAUGUAAGUCAGGAUAGAAAAUAUAGACAAUAUAUUAAUAAAACUUU